AGCUGCGGAUGCGAGCUAGUCUCGCAUGGUAGGAGAGCGUUCCGUAAGCCUGCGAAGGUGCGUUGGAAAGCGUGCUGGAGGUAUCGGAAGUGCGAAUGCUGACAUGAGUAGCGAUAAAGGGGGUGAAAGGCCCCCUCGCCGUAAGCCCAAGGUUUCCUACGCAACGUUCAUCGGCGUAGGGUGAGUCGGCCCCUAAGGCGAGGCAGAAAUGCGUAGCUGAUGGGAAGCAGGUCAAUAUUCCUGCACCAUUGUUAGAUGCGAUGGGGGGACGGAUCGCGGAAGGUUGUCCGGGUGUUGGAAGUCCCGGUCGCUGCAUUGGAGAAGGCGCUUAGGCAAAUCCGGGCGCAGGAUUCAAGGGUGUGGCGCGAGCGCUCUAGGGCGCGAAGCAAUUGGAAGUGGUUCCAAGAAAAGCCUCUAAGCUUCAGUCUAACGAUGACCGUACCGCAAACCGACACAGGUGGGCGAGAUGAGUAUUCUAAGGCGCUUGAGAGAACUCGGGAGAAGGAACUCGGCAAAUUGGUACCGUAACUUCGGGAUAAGGUACGCCCUGGUAGCUUGACUGGCCUGCGCCAGAAGGGUGAAGGGGUUGCAAUAAACUGGUGGCUGCGACUGUUUAAUAAAAACACAGCACUCUGCAAACACGAAAGUGGACGUAUAGGGUGUGACGCCUGCCCGGUGCCGGAAGAUUAAAUGAUGGGGUGCAAGCUCUUGAUUGAAGUCCCGGUAAACGGCGGCCGUAACUAUAACGGUCCUAAGGUAGCGAAAUUCCUUGUCGGGUAAGUUCCGACCUGCACGAAUGGCGUAACGAUGGCCACACUGUCUCCUCCCGAGACUCAGCGAAGUUGAAGUGUUUGUGAUGAUGCAAUCUACCCGCGGCUAGACGGAAAGACCCCAUGAACCUUUACUGUAGCUUUGCAUUGGACUUUGAACCGAUCUGUGUAGGAUAGGUGGGAGGCUAUGAAACCGGAACGCUAGUUUCGGUGGAGCCGUCCUUGAAAUACCACCCUGGUUUGUUUGAGGUUCUAACCUUGGCCCGUGAUCCGGGUCGGGGACAGUGCAUGGUAGGCAGUUUGACUGGGGCGGUCUCCUCCCAAAGCGUAACGGAGGAGUACGAAGGUACGCUAGGUACGGUCGGAAAUCGUGCUGAUAGUGCAAUGGCAUAAGCGUGCUUAACUGCGAGACCGACAAGUCGAGCAGGUGCGAAAGCAGGUCAUAGUGAUCCGGUGGUUCUGUAUGGAAGGGCCAUCGCUCAACGGAUAAAAGGUACUCUGGGGAUAACAGGCUGAUACCGCCCAAGAGUUCAUAUCGACGGCGGUGUUUGGCACCUCGAUGUCGGCUCAUCUCAUCCUGGGGCUGUAGCCGGUCCCAAGGGUAUGGCUGUUCGCCAUUUAAAGAGGUACGUGAGCUGGGUUUAAAACGUCGUGAGACAGUUUGGUCCCUAUCUGCCGUGGGCGUUGGAAGUUUGAAGGGGGCUGCUCCUAGUACGAGAGGACCGGAGUGGACGAACCUCUGGUGUACCGGUUGUGACGCCAGUCGCAUCGCCGGGUAGCUAUGUUCGGAAGAGAUAACCGCUGAAAGCAUCUAAGCGGGAAACUCGCCUUAAGAUGAGACUUCCCCGGGGACUUGAUCCCCUUGAAGGGUCGUUCGAGACCAGGACGUUGAUAGGUCGGGUGUGUAAGCGCAGUAAUGCGUUCAGCUAACCGAUACUAAUUGCCCGUACGGCUUGAUCC
rnacentral:rRNA from 1 species